rnacentral:rRNA from 1 species
CACGUAGUUAGCCGUGGCUUUCUGAUUAGGUACCGUCAAGACGUGCACAGUUACUUACACAUUUGUUCUUCCCUAAUAACAGAGUUUUACGAUCCGAAGACCUUCAUCACUCACGCGGCGUUGCUCCGUCAGGCUUUCGCCCAUUGCGGAAGAUUCCCUACUGCUGCCUCCCGUAGGAGUCUGGACCGUGCCUCAGUUCCAGUGUGGCCGAUCACCCUCUCAGGUCGGCUACGUAUCGUUGCCUUGGUAAGCCAUUACCCCACCAACUAGCUAAUACGGCGCGGGUCCAUCUAUAAGUGAUAGUAAAACCAUCUUUCACUUUAGAACCAUGCGGUUCUAAAUAUUAUCCGGCAUUAGCCCCGGUUUCCCGGAGUUAUUCCAGUCUUAUAGGUAGGUUACCCACGUGUUACUCACCCGUCCGCCGCUAACGUCAAAGGAGCAAGCUCCUUAUCUGUUCGCUCGACUUGCAUGUAUUAGGCACGCCGCCAGCGUUCAUCCUGAGCCAGGAUCAAACUCU